rnacentral:rRNA from 1 species
GACGAACGCUGGCGGCGUGCUUAACACAUGCAAGUCGAACGGAAAGGCCCUGCUUGCAGGGUACUCGAGUGGCGAACGGGUGAGUAACACGUGGGUGAUCUGCCCUGCACUUCGGGAUAAGCCUGGGAAACUGGGUCUAAUGCCGGAUAGGAGCCAUUUUUAGUGUGAUGGUUGGAAAGUUUUUUCGGUGUAGGAUGAGCUCGCGGCCUAUCAGCUUGUUGGUGGGGUAAUGGCCUACCAAGGCGGCGACGGGUAGCCGGCCUGAGAGGGUGGACGGCCACAUUGGGACUGAGAUACGGCCCAGACUCCUACGGGAGGCAGCAGUGGGGAAUAUUGCACAAUGGGCGCAAGCCUGAUGCAGCGACGCCGCGUGGGGGAUGACGGCCUUCGGGUUGUAAACUCCUUUCGCUAGGGACGAAGCUUUUUGUGACGGUACCUAGAGAAGAAGCACCGGCUAACUACGUG